rnacentral:rRNA from 1 species
AUGAUGUGGUUUAAUUCGAUGCAACGUCGAAAACCUUACCCACCUUUGACAUGGCAGGAAUCCCGAAGAGAUUUGGGAGUGCUCGAAAGAGAACCUGCACACGAGGUGCUGCAUGGCUGUCGUCAGCUCGUGUCGUGAGAUGUUGGGUUUAAGUCCCGCAACGAGCGCAACCCUUGCCAUUAGUUGCCAUCAGGUAAAGCUGGGAACUCUGGGGAGACUGCCGGUGAUAAACCGGAGGAAGGCGGGGAUGACGUCAAGUCCUCAUUGGCCCUUUACAUCCCGGGCUACACACGUGCUACAAUGGCAGGUACAGAGGGCUGCGAAGCCGCGAGGUGGAGCCGAAUCCCAGAAAACCUGUCUCAGUCCGGAUUGAAGUCUGCAACUCGACUUCAUGAAGGCGGAAUCGCUAGUAACCGCGAAUCAGCAGGUCGCGGUGAAUACGUUCCCGGGCCUU